rnacentral:rRNA from 1 species
UUUGCCUACGGGAGGCAGCAGUGAGGAAUAUUGGUCAAUGGGCGAGAGCCUGAACCAGCCAAGUCGCGUGAGGGAAGACGGUCCUAUGGAUUGUAAACCUCUUUUGCCGGGGAGCAAAAAGCGGUACGCGUACCGCAUCGAGAGUACCCGGAGAAAAAGCAUCGGCUAACUCCGUGCCAGCAGCCGCGGUAAUAUGGAGGAUGCGAGCGUUAUCCGGAUUCAUUGGGUUUAAAGGGUGCGCAGGCGGGCCUUUAAGCCGGCGGUGAAAUCGCGGGG